ACAGGCCUUCAGGAAUCCCAGGAUACCACAGAUAAGGGGAAAGUGUGGAGCAAGGAAGAUGCAACCUUGGUGGAAGAGGAUCAGGUCAGGGAAUACUUAAGCAAACAGGACAUACAUAAGACCACAGGCCCUGAUGGGAUGCGCCCACAAGUGGUGAGGGAGCUGCCUGCUGCCAUCGCGAGGCUACUCUUGAUAAUCUUUGAAUGAUUGUGGCAACUGGGACAAGUAUCCAAAGACUGAAGGAAAGCAAAUGUCACUUCAAACUUCAAGAAAGGCAGGAAGGAGGACCCAGGGAACUACAUGCUAGUCAGCCUCACCUCCAUCCCUGGGAAGGUGAUGGAGCAGGUAAUCCCAGAAACCAUUUUCAGGCAUAUAAAGGACAAGAAGGUGAUUGGGAGUAGUCAGCAUGGGGAAGUCAUGCUUAACCAACCUGACAACCUUCUAUGAUGAAAUGCCUGGCUUCGUAGAUGAGGACAGGGCAGUGGCUAUUGUCAACUUUGACUUCAGUAAGGCUUUCGACACUGUCUCCUGUAAGAUCCUCAUAGAGAAGCUGAUGAAGUAUGAGCUAGAUGAGCAGGCAGGGAGUUGGAUGGAAAACUGGCUUCGCCGCCGGGCACAGAAGGUGGUGAUCAGUGGUACACAGUCUAGUUGGAGGCCAGUAACUAGCGGUUGUACCCCAGGGGUCAAUAGUGGGUCCAGUUCUGUUUAACAUCUUCAUUAAUGGUCUGGAUGAUAGGGCAGAGUGUACCCUCAGCAAGUCUACAGUCUGAUAAAAGCAAGCAUUUCAAACAGAAAGUAGUAAGAGGACAGCAGGUAAACA